rnacentral:rRNA from 1 species
GAUGAACGCUAGCUACAGGCUUGACACAUGCAAGUCGAGGGGCAGCGCAGUGUAGCAAUACAUGGGCGGCGACCGGCGCACGGGUGCGUAACGCGUAUCCAACCUUCCCGUUACUCAGGGAUAGCCUUCCGAAAGGGAGAUUAAUACCUGAUGGUGUUGAAAUUCCGCAUGUUAUUUCAACUAAAGAUUUAUCGGUAACGGAUGGGGAUGCGUGACAUUAGAUAGUAGGCGGGGUAACGGCCCACCUAGUCUACGAUGUCUAGGGGUUCUGGGAGGAAGGUCCCCCACACUGGAACUGGGACACGGUCCAGACUCCUACGGGAGGCAGCAGUGAGGAAUAUUGGUCAAUGGUCGGAAGACUGAACCAGCCAAGUAGCGUGAAGGAUGAAGGUUCUAUGGGUUGUAAACUUCUUUUGUUUGGGAAUAAAGUCAGGUACGUGUACCUGUUUGUAUGUACCAUUCGAAUAAGCAUCGGCUAAUUCCGUGCCAGCAGCCGCCGUAACAC